CCUCCCCGGUUGUGUUGGGUCAAAGUCAGGACGGGAUGUCUGACUCACUUCUGCUCUCUUCACGGCGGAGCCCGAGCUCUCACGCCAACUCCACCGUCAGUGACGUCUGCGUCACGUGGCCGUCUCUUCCCUCGGUACGUCCGUCGUAUUUUCCUCCCCUCCACCGCCUGCUUUAACACUGAGAGCCACUCGAAAUAAACAAGCGCAAAAAAAGGGGGGCUGUAGUAGGGACCGGCCUGGCUCCCGUGUCACGUUUAUCGCCAGCCGAAGGACAGAGGGGGGCUUCCACCUAUAAGUUGCCAUCAGUGGAGCCCAUACCUCCCGUCAGUUCGCUGGCUCCACUGAGCCCACAUCAUUGUAAACUUUUUUUUAAACCCUGCGCUGCCUACACCGGGUUCCGACAAAGCGAGCCGUUUCAUCCAGCUGAGAGGAAACCAGCUUGAACUGAAUAGCGUUUACCUCAAAAUUGCAGUGAGAACUGCAAGUGGACCUAUGGACAAGUCCCUCCUCCAUCCCCCAGGCCUGGUCUAUAGUCAACUGGAAAAGACUCAUAUUCUCACUCGCACCCCACUCACAGCUAUUUGACCAAACCUCUCCACCCUGUGGUCACACCAUGGCCAGCAAGAGGAAGUCUACUACUCCUUGUAUGAUACCUAGCAAGAUCAUACGCCCUUCAGAGGAGGUUGAACAGGACUCUCCUGUUCUUCUCCGUCAGUCCAGGAUUUUGGGAGGGGGUAGACAUAGCCCCCUAGACCCCGGAGAGUCUUCCAAACCAGAGGCAGGGGACACUGUCAAAGACGGUGCUGGCACUUACACCUGUAAGCCAUGUAACUUUGAAACCCAUGACCUUAACUUGUUCUUGGAUCAUGUGUACACUGGGCACCCAGACUUCCGUGCAGACCCCAGCUUCUUUUGUGUUAGCUGUGGCGUUUCAGCGGCCAAGUUUGAGGGGCUGGCCCUGCACAAUGCCAGGGUCCACCCCAGCACUUUGAACACCACUUUACAGCUGAGGAAGAGGGACAGGAGGGUUGUGGUAGAACAGAAUCUGGUAACUGGGACAGAGUCAGGGAAGGAUAGUGAGAUUUCCAUCACCAAAACCCCAAUAAUGAGGAUGCUGAAGGGCAAAUCGGAGCCUAAACGGAUAGUGGUGUCUCACCCAGUCUCUGACGAGUCUUCCUCAGACCCUCACUCUAUCUCUUCCUCCAGAGAGGUCGAGAGAAAAGAGACUGCUGCUGCGACGGUCACUCAUGUUCCCACAAUAGUCCACAAUGGAACCACCAAGGUCACGCUGCCCUCAGCAAUCCAGAUAGUCAACGGCUCUGGAGCAUUACCGAUGCUCAAGACCCCUAUCACACAGGUGGUCUCAGUGGUUCAGAACAGAAGCCUUCAUCAAUCUACACCAAUACCAGCCUCCUCAAAUGUUUCCUCCACUUCCUCGUCUUCUUCCUCCAAAAACCUCCCCAAGGUAAUGAUUCCUUUGAGCAGCAUCCCUACCUACAGUGCCUCCAUGGACUCCUCUUCCUUCUUGAAAACCUCCUUCAGUAAGUUCCCAUACCCUACAAAGGCUGAGCUCUGCUACCUGACUGUGGUCACAAAGUUCCCCGAAGAGCAGAUUAAGAUCUGGUUCACAGCCCAGAGACUUAAACAAGGGAUCAGCUGGUCUCCUGAGGAGAUCGAGGAGGCCAGGAGGAAGAUGUUCAACACUAUCAUCCAGACAGCACCCUCCAGCUCGCAGAACCAGACCCAGAGUCACCACAGCCCAGCCCAACACACAAUCACAGUCCUGCCUGCUUCACUGGGAGCCACUGGGAUCCCUCAUAUCCUGCAGGGAUCUCUUGUCAGCCAAGGAGGGGUAAUUGUCACACAGCCUGUAAUGGCCAACGGUAUCCAGGUUAGCAGUGCUCCUGUGGCCCUGGCUGUCACACCUAAGCCCCAGGCAGCAGCCCGCCCCAUGAUGCAGGCGCGACCUGCUGCAGCCCUGGUGGCAGACAAAGGCAUCAGCAUGGUGGUGGGAACAGUGGGCAGCAGCAGUACUGGGAGCACCAUCAUUAGCAGCAGUAAUAGUAAUAGGAGUGGGGGAGGGGGCACUAACAGCAUUAUUAGUACUAGUCAGGCUAGUGUCAUCAACCUUAGUCUUGGCAGCAGUAAUCAUAGUAAUGGUAGGGUGGGCAGUGUCAAUGGGAAACACAGCAGUGCUAAUCCAGUCUCAAAUGACAAGAGCAAUAGUAAUGUUACCAGCCAUUUAAAUGCUAAGAACACUGAUAUCAGCAAAGCCAACAGCACCAGCAUUGUGCAGACUGACAUAAAAGUAACCACAGAGAGUAAAAACACCACAGACAGCAAACCUAGUAACAGUAACAGCAACAGCAAAACAGGCAGUGAUGGACAGAGGAGCAAAGAAACUCACUGUAGAGGGAACAAAAAUAGCACAACUAACACAAGCACAGAUGAUGCUGACCCCACUACUAAUGACUCUCCACACAUCAAAAUGGAGGAUGCGUCUUCCCCUGCCUCAAAAUCUUCCUCCCCCUCUCCUGCAGCUCCUCCAAGCAGCACACCUGGCUCCCGGACACCUGUUAACGCAUUCCUUGAUCCCAACUUUUACAAGGGAAAGAAAUCUCAAGAGCAGCUCAAUGCUCUGAAGGAUAGUUUUCAGGUCAGCCAGUUUCCCGACCAGGAGGAGGUUGACCGCCUCAUCGCUCUGACUGGGCUCACAGUACGAGAAGUCCGUAAGUGGUUCAGUGACCGGCGCUACCACUUUCGCAACCUCAAAGGUACACGCACCAGCACGGGUGCCCAGAAUAAGUCUGGCACUACAGCUGGAACAGGGAGUGGUUCAGGUACGCCGGGGAAUGGCGCCACUGGCAGUGCCAACCCUGUCGACCUGUCAGAAGGUAGCAGCAACUCUGGUGCAAAAACACCCCAGCACAGCUCUGCACCCCUGAGUCCAACUGCAUCACAGACUCCCACCUCACCCACCACACCUUCCCGCCGACUCCCCAGACCACCGUCUCCUGAUUUCACAGCUAUCCGCUACAAGGAGAGAGAACCCCACCAGGUAAAGGCACUAGAGGCCAGUUUUGCCCAGGACCCUGACCCAUCUGGAGAAGAAGUUGACAGACUGCGAUCUGAAACCAAGAUGACUAGAAGGGAGAUCCAUGGUUGGUUUGCUGAGAGGAGGAAGAGAGUGGCAGCUGAGAAGAAGAAAGAGGAGGCAGAGCGGGCAAUGAGAGAGGAGGAGGAGGAGGAGAUGGAGGUUGACGGGGAGGAACGACAGAGAGAGGAAGGUUCAGGAGAACUGAAAGUCAACCCUAUUAAAAUAAAUCUGAAGAUGCUGAAGGUGACAGGGGCCAACGGCAAAGCGGAGGGUGAAGGAUUGGACAGUCCUGCUUUGCCGCUUCAAUCCAGUGGCACACUUGCAUCCUCCCCAGGCCCCACCCCAUCCUCCACCCCUAAACCAUCCCAAUCCACCACCCCAACACCAAAACCAUCCCACUCUCCCAAACCCACAGCCAUCAGAGGUAAAAAGACAGCAGACCAACUUCACCUGCUCAAACAAGUCUACGCCCGGACCCAGUGGCCCAGCGCUACUCAGUAUGAUGAACUCAUCUCAGCUACUGGACUGCCCAGACCUGAAGUAGUGCGCUGGUUUGGGGACUGCCGAUAUGUGCAGAAGAAUGGCCAACUGAAGUGGCUGGAGGCUUACCAGACCAUGGCUCUGGAGGAGGAUCUCCAGAAGGAGCACACACAGAUUCUCCAGGCCCACCUCGACGUCCACGGCAGGCUGGAGGAGUCACAGUUGCAGGAACUGGCUCAGGCCAGUGGUUUAACAGCGGACUUGGUGCGACAUUGGUUCUCUACCAACGCGUCUUUGCCCCAGAUGGAAGAAACUGCUGCUGCUCACGUGACAGGACCAAGACCAGUAGCACCAGGCGUGGCAGCUGAACCAGGAACAGCAGGAUCCUCCCCUCUGGAGUCGCAGCCGGGAGGAGGAACAGAGGAGAAAAUGGAGCAGUCGAUGUGUGGUGUCGCAACAGAAGCAGAGGAGGCCAACGCUGACGAGACUGUGAAUCCUACUAAAGAGGCUACCACCUACCCCGCACCUCAACCAUAUCAUGGACCAGUAUGCCCACUGACCACAGACAGACCAAACUGAUAUCAACCUUCAAUUAAACUGCUGGUAAGACAGUGAAUAAGCCGACCCCCAGAUGUCAAGGUGACACAGAAGUGUUAAGGUGGAACAUAGAAAAACACAAUGAUCAUAAUUAUGAGUGAUGAGGCAUGCUGCGAAAGGAACCGACUGAAGAGGCCUUUUGUCUGAGGAUGCAGUUCACAACGCAGGUGGUCUUUGUGUUGGGAGUCUGAGUAAAAGAUGGCAGAUGCGGUUGUAACAGGAUCACUGGAUGGAAAUGGACCUUGAAACCAUCCCCAUCCAUCCCUCCCUCUCUCUCUCUCCUUCUCGCUCACACCCCUAGAGGUAGGCAUGACCUCCCCCCACUACGUGAGAUGGAUGCUGAAGCUACUAACCCCCCCCCCUCCAUCCAUCCAUCCAUCCAUCCAACCACCCACCCACCCAUCCACUCUCCCUGCUCUCCUCCUGUUUUGUCUAACCCUCUGCUACACACACACACACACGCACACACACCCUUCUCCAAUAUCCUCCCGUCCGCCAUUUUCCCUUCAGAAGGAAGUUCCAGUACAAACUGAAGUGGAGGGAGGGGCGAGGCGUUUUUCUGACGUGUUUGCGAGAAUGGGGGGGGUUGAGGGUAGAAGUAGAGGAAGAAGAAGAGGAGGAAAAAAGGGAGAAGUGUGGUUGAGACCUCCCUUGGUUGGGUUUGGACAGCUACAGACCAAGUCAAGCCUCAGACGAGGAUCGGCAGAGUGCUGAGAUACUGUUCAUAGUUUGUUUUGGGUACUAAAAACUGCGCAGCUCUCUGCUACAGGGUGCUUGCCUACGCCUUAAAGUAAAUCAAAAGAACCUUCCUUUUUCCAAUGUGUCAUUUUUUAAACCCCUUUAUCCUCCACCAUGCACUCUCACACUUUGACUUUAUGCUUGCAGCUUACCCUAAGCGUGAUAGCUAGGCUGUUCAUGGCAUCUGAUGUGAAACACAGCACUGAUGUUCAUUUGAUCCUGUCUUGAAGUUAUUUUUGGACAUCUUUGUGCUCACUUUUCAUUUCUUACCUGUACAUACUCUUUGGUUAAAUAGAACAGAAAAUUGUUCAGUAUGGGAAAACGUCUGUAAUUGUUUUAUCCAAAGAGGGCAAGCACCCUGCUGUGUCUAAAACAAAAAAAGAUGACACAACAUAUUAGACUAUACGGAAUUUGGUUUGUGUUGUAGCAUCAAGUGCUUCUUCUUUACGUCACUGACGUGUACGUACAUUUGUUUUUAUGGAACUUUCUUAUGAAAUAAAUUUGACUGUAAAAGAACUGUGAACUUUUAUCAGAGUUCCAUACUUAGGCUUGAUGUAUAAUUUUUACAGAUGGUAUUUGCAGAAUAAAA